UCCAGUUCCUCAGGCUGGAAUACAGUGGUGUGAUCAUAGCUCUCUGCAACCUCAAACUCCUGGACUCGUGAUCCCCCCACCUCAGCCUUCCAAGUAGUGACGACUACAGGCUUAUGCAACCACACUCAACUAAUUUUGUAAAUUUUUGUAGACACAAGGGUUCACUGUGUUGUCCAGGCUGGUCCUGGUCUCAAACUCCUGGGCUGAAGCCAUCCUUCCACCUUGGCCUCCCAAAGUGCUGGUAUUACAGGCGUGAGCCACCACGCUUGGCAGACUUUAUUUCUUAAAGAUUGCCGUCUUACUCAGCAUCUUGGAGAACUCACAAAUAAAUGUCCCUGAGUUUCGAGACAAGCCAGCCAUUAAAAUCUUUUAGGGGGAUCCAGAGAAGAUGAGUUAAAUUGGAAUGGACUUGAAAAAACUGAUUUAGUUGGAUUUAUGGAUCACAGUCAUGAAAAGGUAAAGAUACCAACUUGUUUUGUGAAUUUAAUCUUUAUUCCUUACUUUUUUGCCCCUACUGUUUGUAAUUCCUACUUUAUAAUGAAAUCCUUCUUGUGACUUAUAGAAAUUAACUGGGGAAAAUGUUUUUCUGUUCUCCAUUUCCUUUAAGUUUGUUUUUAGAUACACUGCAUUGCAAGUAUGUGUGGUACAGUAAAAUGUUGCUAAUUGUAUCUGCGCUGAUAAGAUGCCAUUUGCUCUAGGUCAGUUUCCUACCCCCUCCCCCAACUAUUCCUAGCCAGUGGUAGCAUGCUUCUUACUUCCAAAUAUAUGUGUGUGUGUGUGUGUGUGUGUGUGUGUGUGUGUGCCUGUGUGUAUCAACAAUGUGAUCCUAAAAUAAAAGAAUGACAUAUAUUUGACAUUAUUUACAUACUAAAUAUGGGAGCACAUAAAUCAAUUACAGAAUAAAAUCAAUUUUUCAAGGA
rnacentral:lncRNA from 1 species